GCCUCCCCCCCCCCCCCGCCUCCGCCGGUGCGAGUAAACGGCGGCGAAGCGGCCGGAGCCGACUCCGGUCUCGGCGGGCAGCAGAAAGUUGGAAGGAACGCUGGAAAUCCCGCAGCGAGGGCCGCCGCAGCCCUGAGGCUAAGGAAGGAGAUAGGCACACCCGCUCCUGCCCUAACACCUUGCAACUGGGACAAGAGCGAACACAGAAGACAGAAGGGUGCAGCCGCUACCGCAGACAGCCCCCACAGGCCAGUCUGCAUACGCAUAAGGUUAUAUGUGCCCAAACAGUAGUACAGUACGUGCCCAUUUACACAGAUUCCCUGUGAUAAGCACAAGGUUUGCAGCUAUUGCCUCCCGUGAUUACCAAAUACCUUGCAGUCCAGUUCUGCAGGAGGAGGAGGAGGGCAAGAACUGUAAAGAAAGACAAAGGAGCCCAAAAUAAGGGCUAGCUAACUGGGGGCGGGGAGGGGAAAGGAAAAAAAAGUCGCAUUGUAUGUUUAUAUAGUUCAAGAAAAACAAACACUGUCAACAAGUCAUUUUUCUUCCACCUAGAAGAAUUCAGUGUUACGGAGAGAGAUUGCAAGGCCAGCAAAUUCUGCCUCAAGUCCCAAGACGAAGCAGCCUGGGCUGCCUGUUGAGGAUGGUAGAGAAUGUAUCAGUGUAAUGCUGUGUGCUGCCUAGGAAACAUUUGUAAACAUGGCAAGCUUGUGUUACUGCUUUUGGAUGCUCUUAAAAUUACAGCUUAAAAAAAUAAAUAAAUAAUGAUCAAACAGGA